GACGAACGCUGGCGGCGUGCCUAAUACAUGCAAGUAGAACGCUGAAGGAGGAGCUUGCUUCUCUGGAUGAGUUGCGAACGGGUGAGUAACGCGUAGGUAACCUGCCUGGUAGCGGGGGAUAACUAUUGGAAACGAUAGCUAAUACCGCAUAAGAGUAGAUGUUGCAUGACAUUUGCUUAAAAGGUGCAAUUGCAUCACUACCAGAUGGACCUGCGUUGUAUUAGCUAGUUGGUGGGGUAACGGCUCACCAAGGCGACGAUACAUAGCCGACCUGAGAGGGUGGUCGGCCACACCGGGAAUGAGACACGGCCCAGACUCCUACGGGAGGCAGCAGUAGGGAAUCCUCGGCAAUGGACGGAAGUCUGACCGAGCAACGCCGCGUGAGUGAAGAAGGUUUUCGGAUCGUAAAGCUCUGUUGUAAGAGAAGAACGAGUGUGAGAGUGGAAAGUUCACACUGUGACGGUAUCUUACCAGAAAGGGACGGCUAACUACGUG
rnacentral:rRNA from 1 species